AUUGAACGCUGGCGGCAGGCCUAACACAUGCAAGUCGAACGGUAGCACAGAGAGCUUGCUCUCGGGUGACGAGUGGCGGACGGGUGAGUAACGUCUGGGAAACUGCCCGAUGGAGGGGGAUAACUACUGGAAACGGUAGCUAAUACCGCAUAACGUCGCAAGACCAAAGUGGGGGACCUUCGGGCCUCACACCAUCGGAUGUGCCCAGAUGGGAUUAGCUAGUAGGUGGGGUAAUGGCUCACCUAGGCGACGAUCCCUAGCUGGUCUGAGAGGAUGACCAGCCACACUGGAACGGAGACACGGGCCAGACUCCUACGGGGGGCAGCAGUGGGGAAUAUUGCACAAGGGGCGGAAGCCUGAUGCAGCCAUGCCGCGUGUAUGAAGAAGGCCUUCGGGUUGUAAAGUACUUUCAGCGGGGAGGAAGGCGGUGAAGUUAAUAACUUCACCGAUUGACGUUACCCGCAGAAGAAGCACCGGCUAACUCCGUGCCAGCCGCCGCCGUAA
rnacentral:rRNA from 1 species